rnacentral:rRNA from 1 species
CACGUAGGAGGCAAACGUUAUCCGGAUUUACUGGGCGUAAAGCGCGUGUAGGUGGUUUGGUAAGUAGGGCGUGAAAGCUCCCGGCUCAACUGGGAGAGGUCGUUCUAAACUGCCGAGCUAGAGGAUGGUAGAGGGAGGUGGAAUUCCGGGUGUAGCGGUGGAAUGCGCAGAUAUCCGGAGGAACACCAGUGGCGAAAGCGGCCUCCUGGACCAUUCCUGACACUCAGACGCGAAAGCUAGGGUAGCAAACGGG